GGAGACCUACGGGGCGCAGCAGUAGGGAAUCUUCCACAAUGGGCGAAAGCCUGAUGGAGCAACGCCGCGUGGGUGAAGAAGGUCUUCGGAUCGUAAAACCCUGUUUUUAGAGAAGAAAGUGCGUGAGAGUAACUGUUCACGUUUCGACGGUAUCUAACCAGAAAGCCACGGCUAACUACGUGCCAGCAGCCGCGGUAAUACGUAGGUGGCAAGCGUUAUCCGGAUUUAUUGGGCGUAACGGGACCGCAGGCGGACUUUUCAGUCUUAUGUGAAAGCCUUCGGCUUAACCGGCGUAGUGCAUUGGA
rnacentral:rRNA from 1 species